UACGAAGGGGGCUAGCGUCGCUCGGAAUCACUGGGCGUAAAGGGUGCGUAGGCGGGUCUUUAAGUCAGGGGUGAAAUCCUGGAGCUCAACUCCAGAACUGCCUUUGAUACUGAGGAUCUUGAGUUCGGGAGAGGUGAGUGGAACUGCGAGUGUAGAGGUGAAAUUCGUAGAUAUUCGCAAGAACACCAGUGGCGAAGGCGGCUCACUGGCCCGAUACUGACGCUGAGGCACGAAAGCGUGGGGAGCAAACAGG
rnacentral:rRNA from 1 species